AUAUAAACCUGACAAUGCAGUGGAUCCAAAGUGCCACAAGCUACAUACACAAGAAUGGCUCGCACACUUGUCUCAGUGAUUUCGUUAAUUUUUUUUACCUUUGCAGUCAUGGUUGUUGUUCUAUUCUCAAUUGGUGUGAAUAGCAGUCAGAUCUGUCCUGGAAAUUGCGAAAAAUUUUCAAACUGCAAUGCCUACUGCCAGGCCCACUAUCAUAAGAAAGGGAUAUGCAUCAGCCCACCUAAACGAGGGUACAUUUGUUGUUGCUUCUCAUGAGUUUUCUUCAUAUAAUUAUAAGCAAGCAAUGUAUUGUUUUUAAUAAUUAUUAGCAUCAGUGCUGGAAAUAAAAAAGCAUUCUGAGAAGCUGA